AUUGAACGCUGGCGGCAUGCCUAACACAUGCAAGUCGAACGGUAACAGGUCCCGUAGCAAUACGGGAUGCUGACGAGUGGCGGACGGGUGAGUAAUGCGUAGGAAUUUACCUCAAAGCGGGGGAUAGCCCGGAGAAAUCCGGAUUAAUACCGCAUGUGCUCUACGGAGGAAAGCGGGCCUCUACUUGUAAGCUCGCACUUUGAGAUAAGCCUACGUCGGAUUAGCUAGUUGGUAGGGUAAAGGCCUACCAAGGCGACGAUCCGUAGCUGGUUUGAGAGGAUGAUCAGCCACACUGGGACUGAGACACGACCCAGACUCCUACGGGAGGCAGCAGUGGGGAAUAUUGGACAAUGGGCGAAAGCCUGAUCCAGCAAUGCCGCGUGUGUGAAGAAGGCCUGCGGGUUGUAAAGCACUUUUAUCAGGAAAGAAGAUCUCGGGGCUAAUAUCCCCGGGCCUUGACGGUACCUGAUGAAUAAGCACCGGCUAACUCCGUGCCAGCAGCCGCCGUAA
rnacentral:rRNA from 1 species